rnacentral:rRNA from 1 species
GAUGAACGCUGGCGGCGUGCCUAAUACAUGCAAGUCGAGCGAACAGACGAGGAGCUUGCUCCUCUGACGUUAGCGGCGGACGGGUGAGUAACACGUGGAUAACCUACCUAUAAGACUGGGAUAACUUCGGGAAACCGGAGCUAAUACCGGAUAAUAUAUUGGACCGCAUGGUUCAAUAGUGAAAGACGGUUUUGCUGUCACUUAUAGAUGGAUCCGCGCCGCAUUAGCUAGUUGGUAAGGUAACGGCUUACCAAGGCGACGAUGCGUAGCCGACCUGAGAGGGUGAUCGGCCACACUGGAACUGAGACACGGUCCAGACUCCUACGGGAGGCAGCAGUAGGGAAUCUUCCGCAAUGGGCGAAAGCCUGACGGAGCAACGCCGCGUGAGUGAUGAAGGUCUUCGGAUCGUAUAACUCUGUUAUUAGGGAAGAACAAAUGUGUAAGUAACUAUGCACGUCUUGACGGUACCUAAUCAGAAAGCCACGGCUAACUACGUG